rnacentral:rRNA from 1 species
GCAUAUCAAAAGCGGAGGAAAAGAAACCAACAGGGAUUGCCUCAGUAGCGGCGAGUGAAGCGGCAAAAGCUCAGAUUUGAAAUCGUGUUUCGGCACGAGUUGUAGAUUGCAGGUUGGAGUCUUUGUGGAAGCGUGUGUCUAAGUCCCUUGGAACAGGGUGCCAUUGAGGGUGAGAGCCCCGUGAGACGCGUGCGGAAGCUGUAAGGCCCUUCUGACGAGUCGAGUUGUUUGGGAAUGCAGCUCUAAGUGGGUGGUAAAUUCCAUCUAAGGCUAAAUAUUGGCGAGAGACCGAUAGCGAACAAGUACUGUGAAGGAAAGAUGAAAAGCACUUUGAAAAGAGAGUGAAACAGCACGUGAAAUUGUUGAAAGGGAAGGGUAUUGGGCUCGACAUGGGAUUUGCGCACCGCUGCUCCUUGUGGGCGGCGCUCUGUGCUUUUCCUGGGCCAGCAUCGGUUUUUGCCGCAGGAGAAGGCGUGCUGGAAUGUGGCUCUUCGGAGUGUUAUAGCCAGUGCGAGAUGCUGCGUGCGGGGACCGAGGACUGCGACAUCUGUCUCGGAUGCUGGCACAACGGCGCAAUACCGCCCGUCUUGAAACCACG